CUGCAUGUUUGUUUCUUGCAAAUGUUGUUCAAGUAAUUUAGCUUCAGUAUCAUAACAUUUUCAUGUAUAUCUUUAUUAAACUUCACAUCUCCGUUUACAAGGACUUUGUUGGUGAAAGGAUCAAAGAUCCUGUAGCCUUUUUUUAAGCUUCUAUAUCCAACAAAGGUACUUGGUAGUGAUCUUUUUUUCUAGUUUGCUUCUCUUUAUAGCUGGUACAUGAGCAUAAAGAAUGC
rnacentral:lncRNA from 1 species